GGUUGACCUCGGAUCAGGUAGGAAUACGCGCUGAACUUAAGCAUAUCAAUAAGCGGAGGA
rnacentral:rRNA from 5 species